rnacentral:rRNA from 1 species
CGCCUUUUGAAUUUUUAACAUAAAAGGUCCUGCCUGCCCAGUGACACUGUUCAACGGCCGCGGUAUUAUGACCGUGCAAAGGUAGCGUAAUCACUUGUCUUUUAAAUAAAGACCAGUAUGAACGGCAAAACGAGGGCCUAACUGUCUCACUAGACCAGUCAGUGAAAUUAAUUUUCCAGUGCAGAAGCUGGAAUAUUUAUAUAAGACGAAAAGACCCUGUGGAGCUUUAAACCUAGGCUAAUAUACAUUAUAUUAUAGCACCAGGUUUUAGGUUGGGGCGACCAUAAGAAAAACAAACUCUUAAGACAUUAACAAGAAGGACACUUCAAGCAAAUAGUAAUACUAAUAUAUUGACCCAAUAUUUGAUCAACGAACCAAGUUACCCCAGGGAUAACAGCGCAAUCCACUCACAGAGCCCAUAUCGACGAGCGGGUUUACGACCUCGAUGUUGGAUCAGGACCACCUAAUGGUGCAACAACUAUUAAAGGUUCGUUUGUUCAACGAUUAAAGUCCU